CAUGACUGGCAAGGGAGGAGGACUGGCUCCUGAGUGCUUCUCUAAACCUGAGACCACACAGUGUUGGGAAUGAUGAGAUCUAUACAAUGUGAGAAACUGAAAUAUCAACAUGGAGAACUACGGAGACCUGGGACUUUUCGGUGCUGAGGCUAAGGGGAGGAACCCAGCGGAAAUGCCUAUAAACGUAAUUCAAUUACAGAUGUGAAGCCAUCAGUCAGGAUAAGGAGUGAUUUGCAAGAAAAGGCAAGGAAUAUGUGGCUUCAGUGAGCUGCAAAGAUUAUGUGGAUUUUAUUUAUCUCCUGAAAACUUUGAACACAGAAGAAGGAACACACUGGCUAAGAAAAGCAGAAUUAAAGCUUCAAACAUACACAGAGAGGAGGAAAGUAGAACAAUAAAUUGGAGAAGUAAAGGAACAGCCCUGGAUGUGGAUGCAUUCCAAGCUAAUCAUCUAAUUCAUCUAGAAAUUCAUCUAAUUUCUAUCCCCAAAUGGUUGAACCAUGCAUCACUAUGAUGCACUCUGGAAUUUGGAUGUGCAUGAGCUGGUUUUAUCUUCCCAUAUAACGAUGUGCAUACCUGUACAGAACACAUUUGGUUUCUUCAGUAAUGGAAAGCAGAAGAACACUGCAAGCAAGGAGUUCUCUUAAGCCUACAAGGGGUGGGGUGGAGGAUGGGAUUCAGAAAGAAAAAGGUUGAGAAGCCUUGCCCUAAACUAGCACCUAGCAUUGCUUUCCAAUACCUGGAGUUCCACAGUCCUUAUGUUAGAGAGAGGUUAAAAUCUAUUUCUCACACUAAUAUUAGGCCCUUCCUUUGUUUCCCCCUGUACUGCAGAAAAUGGGUCUGAUGCCAGAUCCCCCUCUGAGCUGAUUAUUUUAAAGAAACUAAUUUGGGUCUAUUAAAUUGUUUUUGAAGCUUC